rnacentral:rRNA from 1 species
UGGGGAAUAUUGCACAAUGGGCGGAAGCCUGAUGCAGCAACGCCGCGUGCGGGAUGACGGCCUUCGGGUUGUAAACCGCUUUCGCCUGUGACGAAGCGUGAGUGACGGUAAUGGGUAAAGAAGCACCGGCUAACUACGUGCCAGCAGCCGCGGUGAUACGUAGGGUGCGAGCGUUGUCCGGAUUUAUUGGGCGUAAAGGGCUCGUAGGUGGUUGAUCGCGUCGGAAGUGUAAUCUUGGGGCUUAACCCUGAGCGUGCUUUCAAUACGGGUUGACUUGAGGAAGGUAGGGGAGAAUGGAAUUCCUGGUGGAGCGGUGGAAUGCGCAGAUAUCAGGAGGAACACCAGUGGCGAAGGCGGUUCUCUGGGCCUUUCCUGACGCUGAGGAGCGAAAGCGUGGGGAGCGAACAGGCUUAGAUACCCUGGUAGUCCACGCUGUAAACGGUGGGUACUAGGUGUGGGGUCCAUUCCACGGGUUCCGCGCCGUAGCUAACGCUUUAAGUACCCCGCCUGGGGAGUACGGCCGCAAGGCUA